rnacentral:tRNA from 1 species
GGGCGGUUAGCUCAGUUGGGAGAGCGCCUGGUUUACACCCAGGAGGUCGUGGGUUCGAGCCCCGCAUCGCCCA